rnacentral:lncRNA from 1 species
CUCACCUAUUUAUCUUACUUUUGUUAAUAUGACUGAGCCUGCAAUGCUAAAGGGAGGCAUCAGUGACGUUAUCUAACUUUAGAUGUUUAUUUGGAGUGUACAUUACACUCAUAGACUGUGACAAUACAUAGAUGCCUUUUCUUAGUGAUCCUCGUAUUAUUGUAACAUCGUUCAUAAUGAUAUCACAAUAAUCAUUCUUUAUUGAUAAUUAUAACCAUCUGUGGUCAAAAGAUCAAUAGAGAUUAUAUUCAUCAAGAAAGAUGGACAAUAGGGAUAAUCACUUAAAAUGAUACUAUUAGACUUGAAAACAAGCUCGACGACUCCUAAAGCCCGGAUUGAAAUAUGACUUCCAUCUCCCAUGUUUAGGAAUCUCUCGUUAUUCUUAAAUUUUCUACUAACUUGAAGUUCUUGAAAUGAAUUGCAUAUAUAAACUGGACAUUCGAUAUCUAAUACCC